AAUAUAAGCAAAUGUUUACUGUAAAAGUGAAUUUUGAAAAGAGAGAGAGAGAGAGGGGAUAAAUAUAUAAAUUUAUAUCAUCGUGUUACAAAUUAGUCGAAUGUAAAAUGUAUCCGAGGAAAUUACUAGUGUUCAUUGUUAUUUAUAUUUUAUUUUUUAUCACAGUGCCAAUUAAUAAUGGUGAAUGUAUUAAAUCAAGAUUUGACUGUCAAUCUGAUGAACAAUGUUGCACGGGAAAUUGUAGAAAAUUAAGAGUUGCAGUCCAGGCAAAAUGCGUCUAAUUUCGAGGGAAUACAAGGAGUUUUCUGUGUCAUUCAUUACUUAAAAUUUUAUUAUGUAUAGUUUAAAUUUUUGUAAAUUAAAAAAAUUACCAACAUUUUUUUUUUAAAAUACAUUUUUUUAAAAUAGAUUUUUUUUAAAAUACAUUUUUUUUUAAAUACAUUAUUUAGUCAAUAAAUAAUUUUUAGAGCUUUCUGCAUUAUACGAGUUCAUGAAGAAAAUAACGUGGGGGUUCUUCAAUCAAUGCAGAUACACCUACUUCCCAUUUCUGAUAAAAGGGAAAAGUUACUAAUAGUUUUACAAAAAUUGCAUCGCAUUUAUUUUUUAACAGCACUAUUCAAACUUAUAUUUCAAUUAUAUUUACAAUAUAAUAAAUGUUUAACGAUAA